CACGGGGGGAGCAAGCGUUGUUCGGAAUCACUGGGCGUAAAGGGCGUGUAGGCGGUUUGGUAAGUGAGAUGUGAAAUGCUUCGGCUCACCCGAAGACCUGCAUCUCAAACUGCCGGACUAGAGUAUGGGAGAGGGCAAGGGAAUUCCUGGUGUAGCGGUGAAAUGCGUAGAUAUCAGGAGGAACACCGGUGGCGAAAGCGCUUGUCUGGCCCAAUACUGACGCUGAGGCGCGAAAGCUAGGGGAGCAAACGGG
rnacentral:rRNA from 1 species